rnacentral:miRNA from 1 species
UAAGCUGAACGAUCAAAGGAA